GCGGAAGUAGCUCAGUUGGUAGAGCGCAACCUUGCCAAGGUUGAGGUCGCGGGUUCGAAUCCCGUCUUCCGCU
rnacentral:tRNA from 2 species